UGCAUUGUUCCACAAUUACUAAGAUGGA
rnacentral:piRNA from 1 species